GAUGGAGGGACGGAGAAGGCUAGGCCAGCUUGGCGUUGGUUGUCCAAGUUUAAGGUGGUAGGCUGGAAUCUUAGGUAAAUCCGGGGUUCUAAGGCCGAGAGCUGAUGACGAGUUAUCUUUUAGAUGACGAAGUGGUUGAUGCCAUGCUUCCAAGAAAAGCUUCUAAGCUUCAGGUAACCAGGAACCGUACCCCAAACCGACACAGGUGGUUGGGUAGAGAAUACCAAGGCGCUUGAGAGAACUCGGGUGAAGGAACUAGGCAAAAUGGCACCGUAACUUCGGGAGAAGGUGCGCCGGUGAGGGUGAAGGACUUGCUCCGUAAGCUCAUGCCGGUCGAAGAUACCAGGCCGCUGCGACUGUUUAUUAAAAACACAGCACUCUGCAAACACGAAAGUGGACGUAUAGGGUGUGACGCCUGCCCGGUGCCGGAAGGUUAAUUGAUGGGGUUAGCUAACGCGAAGCUCUUGAUCGAAGCCCCGGUAAACGGCGGCCGUAACAAUAACGGUCCUAAGGUAGCGAAAUUCCUUGUCGGGUAAGUUCCGACCUGCACGAAUGGCGUAACGAUGGCGGCGCUGUCUCCACCCGAGACUCAGUGAAAUUGAAAUCGCUGUGAAGAUGCAGUGUAUCCGCGGCUAGACGGAAAGACCCCGUGAACCUUUACUAUAGCUUUGCACUGGACUUUGAAUUUGCUUGUGUAGGAUAGGUGGGAGGCUUUGAAGCGUGGACGCCAGUUCGCGUGGAGCCAACCUUGAAAUACCACCCUGGCAACUUUGAGGUUCUAACUCAGGUCCGUUAUCCGGAUCGAGGACAGUGUAUGGUGGGUAGUUUGACUGGGGCGGUCUCCUCCUAAAGAGUAACGGAGGAGUACGAAGGUGCGCUCAGACCGGUCGGAAAUCGGUCGUAGAGUAUAAAGGCAAAAGCGCGCUUGACUGCGAGACAGACACGUCGAGCAGGUACGAAAGUAGGUCUUAGUGAUCCGGUGGUUCUGUAUGGAAGGGCCAUCGCUCAACGGAUAAAAGGUACUCCGGGGAUAACAGGCUGAUACCGCCCAAGAGUUCAUAUCGACGGCGGUGUUUGGCACCUCGAUGUCGGCUCAUCACAUCCUGGGGCUGAAGCCGGUCCCAAGGGUAUGGCUGUUCGCCAUUUAAAGUGGUACGCGAGCUGGGUUUAGAACGUCGUGAGACAGUUCGGUCCCUAUCUGCCGUGGACGUUUGAGAUUUGAGAGGGGCUGCUCCUAGUACGAGAGGACCGGAGUGGACGAACCUCUGGUGUUCCGGUUGUCACGCCAGUGGCAUUGCCGGGUAGCUAUGUUCGGAAAAGAUAACCGCUGAAAGCAUCUAAGCGGGAAACUUGCCUCAAGAUGAGAUCUCACUGGAACCUUGAGUUCCCUGAAGGGCCGUCGAAGACUACGACGUUGAUAGGUUGGGUGUGUAAGCGCUGUGAGGCGUUGAGCUAACCAAUACUAAUUGCCCGUGAGGCUUGACC
rnacentral:rRNA from 1 species